rnacentral:rRNA from 1 species
GACGAACCGUGCGAACGUUGUUCGGAAUCACUGGGCUUGAAGGGCGCGUAGGCGGGUCAUCAAGUCCGGGGUGAAAGCCCCCAGCUUAACUGGGGAAGGGCCUUGGAUACUGAUGGUCUCGAGGGGGGUAGGGGCAGUGGGAACUUCCGGUGGAGCGGUGAAAUGCGUUGAUAUCGGAAGGAACGCCGGUGGCGAAAGCGCACUGCUGGACCUUUUCUGACGCUGAGGCGCGAAAGCCAGGGGAGCAAACGGG